AAAAGGAUGUGGCGUUGCCCAGACAACUAGGAUGUUGGCUUAGAAGCAGCCAUCAUUUAAAGAGUGCGUAAUAGCUCACUAGUCGAGUGACACUGCGCCGAAAAUGUACCGGGGCUAAACAUAUUACCGAAGCUGUGGAUUGUCCUUUGGACAAUGGUAGGAGAGCGUUCUAAGGGCGUUGAAGCAUGAUCGUAAGGACAUGUGGAGCGCUUAGAAGUGAGAAUGCCGGUGUGAGUAGCGAAAGACGGGUGAGAAUCCCGUCCACCGAUUGACUAAGGUUUCCAGAGGAAGGCUCGUCCGCUCUGGGUUAGUCGGGUCCUAAGCUGAGGCCGACAGGCGUAGGCGAUGGAUAACAGGUUGAUAUUCCUGUACCACCUAUAAUCGUUUUAAUCGAUGGGGGGACGCAGUAGGAUAGGCGAAGCGUGCGAUUGGAUUGCACGUCUAAGCAGUAAGGCUGAGUAUUAGGCAAAUCCGGUACUCGUUAAGGCUGAGC
rnacentral:rRNA from 1 species